rnacentral:rRNA from 1 species
UCGAGAAUAUUCGGCAAUGGGCGCAAGCCUGACCGAGCGACGCCGCGUGCGGGAUGAAGGCCUUCGGGUUGUAAACCGCUGUCAGAGGGGCUGAAGUACCGGGGGGCUAUCCCCCUGGAUUGACAUAGCCUCAGAGGAAGCACGGGCUAAGUUCGUGCCAGCAGCCGCGGUAAGACGAACCGUGCAAACGUUGUUCGGAAUCACUGGGCUUAAAGGGUGCGUAGGCGGCUUUGUAAGUCGGGUGUGAAAUCCCUCGGCUCAACCGAGGAACUGCAUUCGAUACUGCUUAGCUUGAGGGAGAUAGGGGCGCGUGGAACUUCGGGUGGAGCGGUGAAAUGCGUUGAGAUCCGAAGGAACGCCGGUGGCGAAAGCGACGCGCUGGGUCUCCUCUGACGCUGAGGCACGAAAGCUAGGGGAGCGAACGGGAUUAGAUACCCCCGUAGUCC